CGAAGGAUGCAAGCGUUAUCCGGAUUCAUUGGGUUUAAAGGGUGCGUAGGCGGCCUUGUAAGUCAGUGGUGAAAUCUCCUCGCUUAACGAGGAGACUGCCAUUGAUACUGCAGGGCUUGAGUACAGUUGCUGUGGGCGGAAUAUGACAUGUAGUGGUGAAAUACAUAGAGAUGUCAUAGAACACCGAUUGCGAAGGCAGCUCACAAAACUGUAACUGACGCUGAGGCACGAAAGUGCGGGGAUCAAACAGGAUUAGAUACCCUGGUAGUCCGCACUGUAAACGAUGAUUACUCGCUGCUAGGGGGCAACCUUUAGUGGCUUAGCGAAAGCGAUAAGUAAUCCACCUGGGGAGUACGCCGGCAACGGUG
rnacentral:rRNA from 1 species